CUUUCAUUCCAAAAAUGGUCCUUACCCUGAUGUAAUGUGUGACAAACUCCCCUCUCCAAGUGAGUUUGCCACAAGCUCCUGGAGGAGCCUGCUUGCCAGCCUCCUGCUCACAGACUAUGGGCCAUGCAGGAAAACCUGUAAAAGACUACCAAACUUGACCGACUGUUCGCACUGAUUUCCCUGGAACUGUUUUGGGCAUGGGAAAUCUUUGAACCCCUGAACCGAUCUGGGUGAUUUUGGGAUAUGUAGUUCACCCAGAUCGGGCUUAUGACCAGAGCUAAUUCCCCAUUCGGCUCCAGGAAGGAGCGGUUCCAGGGCCCCAGCCAAGCCACGGCGACUGUGGGCAGAAGUGC